rnacentral:tRNA from 1 species
GGAGAGAUGGCUGAGGGGUCGAAAGCGCUCGCCUCGAAAGCGAGUGGGCAAUUUAUUGCCUCGUGAGUUCGAAUCUCACUCUCUCCGCCA